rnacentral:lncRNA from 1 species
AAAAGUAGAGAUUUUGAUUUACUCUCAUAUUCGUCUCAUGUUGUCUAAAAAGUGUUCUUAAACUCUCAUUUCUUUCACAUCUUUAUAAUAUUAUUUGAGAAAUCAGUUUCAUACAUAUCCGGCUCACAUUAAUUUAUUCUUACAAUGGUUAAUUACAACAAUACCCUUAAUGAAUCCAAUAUAUUAAUUAUCAUUAUUAUCUAUUGUAUUUUAUUUUUUCCUUUUAUAUUUAUGUUUCGUUUCUCUUUAUUUUAUUUUUCAAAUAAUCUAUAUAAUAAAGACAAUUAUAAACUUAAAAAACUUAAAGUAUCUUUUAUAAAUAAUGUGAUUAAUAAAAAAGAAAGUUCACAAAAUAAUCUUGAUUUUAAAGUAAAGAAAUAAUCUUCCAUUUCAAAAGAUAAUCUUAAACAACAUAGUAUCUAAUCUAUUAAAACUAAUGUAGAAAUAGAAAUUAACCCUCAAUUAUCCUUAAAUAUUACAAGAAUAUGCUACUAGCCUAAAC